rnacentral:rRNA from 1 species
UACGUAGGGUGCAAGCGUUGUCCGGAAUUAUUGGGCGUAAAGAGCUCGUAGGUGGCCUGUCGCGUCGGCUGUGAAAACUCGGGGCUCAACUCCGAGCUUGCAGUCGAUACGGGCAGGCUAGAGUUCGGCAGGGGAGACUGGAAUUCCUGGUGUAGCGGUGAAAUGCGCAGAUAUCAGGAGGAACACCGGUGGCGAAGGCGGUGGGCUGGGCCGGCACUGACGCUGAGGAGCGAAAGCGUGGGGAGCGAACAGG